CUUACCACUUUGUGAUUCAUGACUGGGGUGAAGUCGUAACAAGGUAACCGUAGGGGAACCUGCGGUUGGAUCACCUCCUUACCUGAAAAUAC
rnacentral:rRNA from 1 species